GACGAACCGUGCGAACGUUGUUCGGAAUCACUGGGCUUAAAGGGUGCGUAGGCGGGCGGCCGCGUCCGGGGUGAAAUCCCUCGGCUCAACCGAGGAAUGGCGCUUGAUACUGCAAGGCUUGAGGGAGACAGGGGUAAGCGGAACUGAUGGUGGAGCGGUGAAAUGCGUUGAUAUCAUCAGGAACACCGGUGGCGAAAGCGGCUUACUGGGUCUCUUCUGACGCUGAGGAACGAAAGCUAGGGGAGCGAACGGG
rnacentral:rRNA from 1 species